CGAACGGGUGAGUAACGCGUGAGGAACCUGCCUCAAAGAGGGGACAACAGUUGGAAACGACUGCUAAUACCGCAUAAGCCCACGGCUCGGCAUCGAGCAGAGGGAAAAGGAGCAAUCCGCUUUGAGAUGGCCUCGCGUCCGAUUAGCUAGUUGGUGAGGUAACGGCCCACCAAGGCGACGAUCGGUAGCCGGACUGAGAGGUUGAACGGCCACAUUGGGACUGAGACACGGCCCAG
rnacentral:rRNA from 1 species